rnacentral:lncRNA from 1 species
CAGCCAGGCAGGAGCAGGGGAUGGACAUGGACAGGGCAGUCGCUGCCUGACUCUGGCCUGCUCUGGAAACACUAUUCUGGAGUCUUCCUAACUCUUGGAAGGCAUCCUGCCAUGGAUUAGGAUUACAGGCCAAAUUUCAGGAAUCUCAUUUUGGUGGCCAGAAAACACAGAACCGGAUGCAGCUGUGGAGGAAGAUGGUGGAGAGAGUGACCCAGGCAACAGAAGGGGGACUCUCAUAAACCACAAAGGAAAAUAAAUAACCUCACCCAUGGAGGGAAAGAGACAGUUUGAGAAAAGGGACUUUGGAAAAAGGCUCUCUCUAGAUAGCAGUCUCAUGGUAAGUACUGGAUAUUCAUUUACCGCUAUGUGUUUUGGCUUAAAAUGCAUUAUUCUUUGAUGCUGAUUUCCUAAACUCUGUGCUUUUGAAACCCCUAUUCCAGUUACCCCCUUAGCAAUAUCCCCUGAGAUUUUGUUUUGCUCAUGUUUUAUAAGGUCAAAAGCUAGAACAUUAUGGGAAUGUUUGUAUAGUGUCCUAAUAAGUAAAUGUCAUAAUCUCUCAGCAUUAUGUAUGAUUACAUUAAUUCCAACUGAAGUAAGCUUAAACCCACACAAAAACACUACUGCAUGGCUGAUGCCAAAUGCCAGGCCGAUACACAGUUGUUCUAGCACCCAUUUAUCUUAAGGCUGGGGGUCCGUUGAACAAGACUUCGGCAGAAUUUCAGAUAUUGAAGAAUGAAGAAAAUCUCUGCCAUCUUAGGUAUGUAAAUCCAUCCUGUGGUCCAUAAACUUUCUUUCUGAGUUGAAUGCUGAUGGGCGUCAUUCUUAACAACUUGGUUGGGUUUGCUUUCCUGUAUGAGAACCUGGCGAGUCCAAGGAAAUAGAUGAAGUCACUGAUUUUUUUUUUCUUUCUUUAUAUAUGUAUAUAUUUUUAGGGUUGCACCUGUGGCAUGUCGAAGUUUCUAGGCUAGGAGUCAAAUCAGAGCUACAGCUGCCAGCCUACACCACAGCCACAGCAACACCAGAUCUGAGUCGCAUCUGCGACCUACACCACAGCUCAUGGCAACACCAGAUCCUUAACCCACUGAGUGAGGCCAGGAUUGAAUCCACAUCCUCAUGGAUACUAGUCAGGUUUGUCACUGCUGAGCCACAACAGGAACUCCUUCAAGUCCCUGAUUUCUGAAGGUGGGCCCUUCCUUCCAGUCCAAGCUAAGAUACUGGAUAUUGACAUCACCUAUUCAAUGAUGCCUCUGAACAAAGUAAGAAAUCAAAUGAAGUGAGUCACUCCUUUCUCUCUUGGUCACCUACUCAAGAAGAAAUGGAUGUUGGAUGUUGUUUAUGGAUGCGCUUUUUUCAUUUGUGUACUUGUAGCCCCUGGCCCAGAGUUGUGAUUACAGUAGUUGUCCAAUAAAAUAUUUGCUGAAUUGAUUUAUCAGUUGCCCUUUUCCAAUUCUGCUGCUGUAGGUCUGGCUCUGUCAGGGUCUAAAUGAGCUAUUUACUCCAUGACUGCUGAGGUUUCCCAUCUCAAGCUCUUCACAGAUGGGAGUUUCUGGUAACUGAAAAAAGAAUUGCAUUAAAAUGCUGUGUCCAGGUCUUCUCUUGUUAUUAGAGUCAACUUCUGUGUCUCUGUGAGCUCUGCCUCUGCAUUCCUUCAGAGGCUGAGAACUCUUAGAGGAUUUUAAAUUCUUCUCCCAGUGGAUAUGCCCUCUUUUCAUCUCUGAGGUCUAUCUCUUCAGGUAGAGUGUGGUGAAAAUUGUGUGUGUGUGUGUGUGUGUGUGUGUGUGUGUGUGUGUUUAUAUGUCUAUACCCUUUGCAAUCUCUAGGGAAUCUUAGGAUAAAAGGAUAAUUUCUCAGCCUCUCCUUUUUUUCUUUACUAAGGAAAACACUUCUUACAAAUCAACCCACCAAUAGGGUCUGUCAUAUGUCUCACCAGAUGCUCACGUAGUAUAAUAGGAGCAGCACAGGAAAGUUUCUCUGAACCCCAAAGUAUCAUCCUUGCUGAUUAAUCCCUAAAACCUAAAUUCUGUCUUGGGGGCCAGAGAAAAUACAAAGACCCUGAAAAGCAAGCAUGCUAAGCUAUUGUCUUUCAAUCAUUCACAGUAGCACUCAUUAAUAGAAGGUCUUGGAUCAUUUCCAGAUGUCAGCCAGAUGAGCAGAAUUUCCUUGAGGCAGUUGGUAAACAAAAGAUUGCAGAGCACAGAGGGCUGGCCUGCAGUGCUGUGCUGGGGUGGGGGGAGAGGAGGGGAAGCAGAUUAUCAAGAGGGCACUGGGUAUCUGAAAAUCUGAGGAGUUGCAAUGAAAUUUUUGCCCUCUUUUAAAUUUUCCUUAGGGACAGGCUUGACUGUGAACAUAAAGCUCGUUGUAUUACCUGUGCUGGCUGAAAACCCCAAACCAAACUUGUACUCCCAUUGGCUUGCAGCUCUACCCUGUGUAUUGUGGGGGCUGUGAAUCUGUUUCUUGGCUGACAGCAUUAAAGAAUGUUGAGAAAAUGAGAGCUUUUUGCUUGGUACCACCUAAGAAAUGUUAUCCUGUUAAAUCUCCCUAAAUGAUGCUUAGGAGAGUUUUUAUACUAGCGAAAUGUCUUCCUUGUUUCCUAGAAGCAGACUGAGGAUGUUUAUUGGGAGAAUCCUGAAAACGAAAAUGCUCUUGCAUGACUGUGUGGCCCUGUGUACGAGGAUGCUUAGACGCCACUCAUCAUUAUACAGCUUAGGACAUGUGACUCAUUUUGCCUUCUAUUUUUACUGAUAGGUUCUUUCCUCAUAUAGAUGCUGCUCCUGGGACAGUGGCAGGAACAGGGUUCUUGUCAAGUUGGUUCUGAGGGUGUGAUACCCACUGAAAGGCCCUUAAAGUGAAUUUUAUUGUGAUUGUCAGAGAGACUGACAGGGAGGAGAUGAAAGCUAACCGGCCUGUAAAGGACUUGAACCCAAUGCUGCACCCUCCUCUUUGGCUCCAGACCGAAACCACACAAAUAACUAGGCAAGAAGCAUACAAGGAUGAUUCUAGGACAAGGUUGCUGGGAAAUGUAAGAAAAAAAAAAA